rnacentral:rRNA from 1 species
GUGAGGAAUUUUCCGCAAUGGGCGAAAGCCUGACGGAGCAAUGCCGCGUGAAGGAUGAAGGCCUAUGGGUUGUAAACUUCUUUUCUCAGAAAAGAAUUAUGACGGUAUCUGAGGAAUAAGCAUCGGCUAACUCUGUGCCAGCAGCCGCGGUAAGACAGAGGAUGCAAGCGUUAUCCGGAAUGAUUGGGCGUAAAGCGUCUGUAGGUUGUUUAAAAAGUAUUCUGUCAAAGAUUAGGGCUUAACCCUAGAUAGGCAGAAUAAACUUUUAAGCUAGAGUUUGGUAGAGGCAGAGGGAAUUCCCGGUGGAGCGGUGAAAUGCGUAGAUAUCGAGAGGAACACCAAAGGCGAAGGCACUCUGCUGGGCCAAUACUAACACUGAGAGACGAAAGCGAGGGGAGCAAAUGGGAUUAGAAACCCCAGUAGUCC